rnacentral:lncRNA from 1 species
UAACUUUGAUUUAUUAAAUAAUGAAACUAAAACAAAGGAUUAAGGAGUGACAACAUAGUAAAAUUUCAGAUUUUUUAACAUCAUUUAGGCACAAAAAUGGACACUCAAACAUGUACCAAAAAAAAAAAAAUCUUGGGUACACUGAACAUAACACACUUAUCCCAUUGACCUUCAAUUGACUUGAUUUCAAAACCAACAGAUAGAGGACUCAUAGGUAUUUCAAACCUCACUAAUUUUGUCCAAAAAUUCAAAGAAUUCUAUCCAGGAAGGAAUGCGUAGCUACAUCUCGCAAUUCUCUAUGACCAGGAGGAAUGAAAUGUAACGAACCAAGCUUCCUUCUUCCUUGAGUCUGCACCGUCUGAGAUACCAAACCCUAAUGCUAGUUCAGUUUAUGUGUUUUACGUGAGCACCUUUCACUAGUGUGCGUAAAAAAAACAUACUAACUUGAUCAUAAAAGAAAGUCAAAUUCUAAGCCAUUCUAAAAUUUUCUCUCUAGAAAUUAAUGUUUUUGCUAGAUUUUGGUAUCUACUUGUAGUCUUUAGCAAAGACAACCUCUAAACACGAUGCAACAAAGUUCAGGUGGUAUGCUGACAAUUAUCUUUUACAAGACUUAUGAUUAAUCUUAACUUCUUUGGUAAAUUUAAUUACAUGUAUAUUUAAAACAAUUAAAUUUCAAUGUUCACAUUAAGACAAAGGACUAAGAAGUUUUUUAAAAAACUUAAAGAUAAUCUAACAUCUUUUAGAAAUUAAACAUAAGUUUUACAACUAAUAAGAAUUAUAAAUUUUUCAAAUGUGACUAAUUACAUGAAUGAAGCAUCUUUCGCCUUUUGAAUCCUCCGCAAUCCACAAGAAUCCCAACCAUCCUUUAAUCUAAAAAAUUUGUCAACAUAGAAGACAUGAGCUUCGAGCUCAAUAAGACUAAUGUCACUUAGUGCACCAUUUCGAUCAUACACCACACACACACUCACACACUCUCAAAGUGAUUUCAUGCAGAUGAAUACUAGCAAAUUCAUGAUUUCGAUGAAUCGCUUAGGAUCAUAGAACCCAGUUAUGAACAUACAUAAACCUCUUUAUUCAUAGCUUCAAAAAUUCUAACACACAUCACAAGUGUGUUUGUGUGUGUGUGUGUGUAUAUGUAUAUAUAUGUGAACGAAAAAGGUAAAUACUUCACCUCACCUACCACGAUUUUAUUGAAAUAUAAAUGAACAAAAUGUGUAGAAACAUUUCUUCUUCACACCCUUGCUAUCCCGUUGAGCUUAACUUAACUAAAAAUAGAUUUUUAAGAGCAAAAUUAAAAGAAAUUUUAGAUUUGAUGAGAGGUAUGGAAAAAUAGUGAAAAACUAAUGGGAGAGUUAUAUCAUCAUCAACCACGUUAAACAUAGUCUUUAAGUAGGAAUUUAAAGAGUUUUAAGCCCAUAAGAAUAUUUUUUAUUAAAAAAGUUAUAAAACGUUUAUAAGGUGAAAAUUAGAGGAAAAUGAAUUAUUCAUUAUGAUUUGUAACUUAUCUUUAUGAAUGUUCACUAAUAAAACAAUUAUUCCAUUCAACUAACAUGAUAUAAUUGUUCUUAAUGUGCAAAAAUGAGGUGUUUUUAACUCCAAAUGGUUUUUAUAAAAUAUUUCAUAAAAAUAUAUGCAUGGUGAUUCAAACGUUGGUUGUCUAUGUGAAAUACCAUGCAGACGACUAUUAUGGCAACCCAAUUAUUCAUUAAAUCUUUAUAAUCAAAUUUAUUUUGACCUAAUGCCUUAAAUCUUUGGGGUUUUAAAUAACUUAUGGCUUGGGCUUUCAUUACCUUAAAUGGGCUGAGCCUCCAUAACUUGUUUCUUAAGUGAGCUAUACCAACCAACUUAAGAAUAUAACAUUCGAGACUUUGUAGUCUCUUAAUCACUUUUUAGUCUAUUUUCAAAUGGCAAACCUAAGCACUAUUUAGAAUCAUUUAACGUGCCCUCAAUCUACAAUAAUGAUGCAUAUGAGAUUGACGCAUCGAUCGUUAAAAUGAGGUCAUGUGUCAUCCAUCCAAUGAUGACAACUACGUUUCUUGUGCUAUAAAAGCUCACGCUUGAUGCCAUUCACUAGUAGUGCUAAUUGACACCCUCAAUAGUGACUUAGCUUGGUAUUAUAUUUUCUCUCUUCAAAUUUGGUUAUUAUAUACGUACUUGUGGCCCUUAUUUAUUUUCCAUCCACACCUAAAAUCAUAUAUAAAUUGACUGGUUUGAUAAACGAAGUUAUGCUACCUCCUUCCCCACCUCUUAUGAAGGCCACAUACACAAAAUAGUUUGUCCAAUUAUACAAUAGCUUGACACAUAAAUGGGAAUGAAGUGGGGACAUAUUGGCCACAUUUUCCAGUCGAAAGCUGAGGUUAACAGUAACCAUUAAACACUUAAAUUAAAAGAUAACAGACACAAUAUCCUGAUAGUUAAUAAGAGAUCUGAUUUGUGUUUCCUCCUCGUACAAUAUCAAACAAAUAGAAUAAAUGGGAAAAGCUUCCCUAGCUACCUAAUCUUGAACCUAGUUUCAUUAAUGAACAUUGAAAACUAAUUAAUUUAUAUACAAUAAAUAAUAUCAAAGCAAUUAUUGAAAAAUUAUGAAUAACAGAGAAGAAUAAUGUUAAUCAAAGAAGAAUCUCUUAUUUGAUAAUUUAUGGAGAUAAAACUUUAACACUCCCCAUCAGGUUGGAGAAUGAAUUUUUGAAAUGCCUAAUUUGCUCAUAUGUCUCUUGAAAAGUGACUUUCCAAUAGAUUUUGUAAACAUAUAGGUUAUUUGUCCUAUGAAUUAUCGAACUGCACUGCCAGUAGACCUGCUUUGAUCUUCUCUCUAGCCAUAUGGCAGUCUAGUUCGAUGUGUUUUGUUAUUUCAUGAAAUACCGGGUUUGCAGCAAUUUGUAAUGGUGCCUAAUUAUCACAAAAGAGUAUUGCUAGUUCUAUAAGAUUAACAUGUAGAUCUUUGAACAAAUACCUUAGGCACAUCAGUUCGCACGUUACUAAAGCCAUUUCCUUGUAUUGUGCUUCUAUCGAAGAUCUUGACACUGUAGUUUGCUUCUUC